rnacentral:rRNA from 1 species
CAAGGAAUUUUCCGCAAUGGGCGAAAGCCUGACGGAGCAACGCCGCGUGCAGGAUGACGCUUUUCGGAGUGUAAACUGCUGUUCGGGGGGACGAAGCACUGACGGUACCCCCGGAGGAAGGCCCGGCUAACUACGUGCCAGCAGCCGCGGUAAUACGUAGGGGCCAAGCGUUGUCCGGAGUUACUGGGCGUAAAGCGUGCGCAGGUGGCUCGUUGCGCCCGACGUGAAAGCCCCGGCUCAACCGGGGAGGGUCGUCGGGGACGGGCGAGCUUGAGGGGAUCAGGGGCUGGUGGAACUCCCGGUGUAGUGGUGAAAUGCGUAGAGAUCGGGAAGAACACCCGUGGCGAAGGCGGCCAGCUGGGAUCCACCUGACACUGAGGCACGAAGGCGUGGGGAGCGAACG